UACGAAGGGGACUAGCGUUGUUCGGAAUCACUGGGCGUAAAGCGCACGUAGGCGGAUUUGUAAGUCAGGGGUGAAAUCCCGGGGCUCAACCUCGGAACUGCCUUUGAUACUGCGAAUCUUGAGUCCGAUAGAGGUGGGUGGAAUUCCUAGUGUAGAGGUGAAAUUCGUAGAUAUUAGGAAGAACGCCGGUGGCGAAGGCGGCCCACUGGAUCGGUACUGACGCUGAGGUGCGAAAGCGUGGGGAGCAAACAGG
rnacentral:rRNA from 1 species